rnacentral:rRNA from 1 species
CCUACGGGAGGCAGCAGUGGGGAAUAGUGCACAAGGGGGGAAACCCUGAUGCAGCAACGCCGCGUGAAGGAAGACGGUUGUCGGAUUGAAAACUUCUGUUCUUAGGGAAGAAGAAUGAAGGAAGCAAAGGAGCAAGCAACGGCAAACUACGUGCCAGCAGCCGCGGUAAUACGUAGGGGGCAAGCGUUGUCCGGAAUUACUGGGGGUAAGGGGAGCGCAGGCGGGAAGCCAAGUCAGCUGUGAAAACUACGGGCUUAACUUGUAGACUGCAGUUGAAACUGGUUUUCUUGAGUGAAGUAGAGGUUGGCGGACUUCCGAGUGUAGCGGUGACAUGCGUAGAUAUUCUGAGGAACACCGGUGGCGCAGGCGGCCCACUGGGCUUUAACUGACGCUGCGGCUCGAAAGUGUGGGGAGCAAACAGGAUUAGAUACCCUAGUAGUC